GCCGGGCAUGGUGGCGCAUGCCUGUAAUCCCAGCUACUUGGGAGGCCGAGGCAGGAGAAUUGCUUGAACCUGGAAGACGGAGGUUGUGGUGAGCCAAGAUCGCACCACUGCAUUCCAGCCUGGGUGAUAGAGCAAGACUCUGUCUCAA
rnacentral:SRP_RNA from 2 species